rnacentral:rRNA from 1 species
AUUGAACGCUGGCGGCGUGCCUAAUACAUGCAAGUCGAGCGCAGGAAACUGACGGAACUCUUCGGAGGGAAGGCAGCGGAAUGAGCGGCGGACGGGUGAGUAACACGUAAGGAACCUGCCUCAAGGAUUGGGAUAACUCCGAGAAAUCGGAGCUAAUACCGGAUAGUUCAUCGGACCGCAUGGUCCGUUGAUGAAAGGCGCUCCGGCGUCACCUUGAGAUGGCCUUGCGGUGCAUUAGCUAGUUGGUGGGGUAACGGCCCACCAAGGCGACGGUGCAUAGCCGACUUGAGAGGGUGAUCGGCCACACUGGGACUGAGACACGGCCCAGAAUCCUACGGGAGGCAGCAGUAGGGAAUCUUCCACAAUGGACGAAAGUCUGAUGGAGCAACGCCGCGUGAGUGAUGAAGGUUUUCGGAUCGUAAAACUCUGUUGUAAGGGAAGAACACGUACGAGAGGGAAUGCUCGUACCUUGACGGUACCUUACGAGAAAGCCACGGCUAACUACGUGCCAGCCGCCGCGAUAGCAC